AGUGCAGUUGCUGUCGGGGUCGGAUCCCGGAGGGCUGGGUGUGGUUGUGGCGUAGAGCAAGGCUGAUCUCGGGCCACCCGCGGGGCGGGCGACGAUAUCGUCUUAGUGGGCAGGCUGGCUGGCUGGCGUGUCGGGUUUCGCGGAGUAUGGCGGGGAACCGGAGUAGAGGGAUGUGAGCGUUUGAAAGCAGAAUGCCUUUGCUUCCAUGAUCUGAUCAGAGAUUAUGAAGAUACAGUUCCUCCCUUUGGUUUGCAUACAGUUAAGUGGAGCAGAUACAGGUCAAUGGUCAGUGUGCCACUUAGGUAUUCAAGAAGAGAUAUAUCAGCAGGUUGCAGCUGAACAUGGCCUUGAGGUAAAUCCUGCCCCUGUUGAAAUUUGGUUUCAGCAGAUUAUUCAUGGUAAUUUAGGAACUGGAAUAUUUUACAGAAAAAAAAAUAUUUCAUUUGGUUCUGUUCUAGACUUAUUUUUUCUUCUCCUAGAAGAACCAUGUUUAAACAAAACUUCACUAUGCUGAAGAACUGUGAUGCUUUAAGUUGGUCAUCUGCCUCAUUUUAAACCCCCGCUCCCUCUCCCGAUGCGCUGAAAGUGCCACGUUUAUGUGUAGGCCGCUGCGGGACGUGAAGUGCGUAGUAGAGCGUUCCAUUUUGCCCAGUCUUGCCAUCAAGCCGCAGGUGCCCUUCUGUUCCUUCAGACUGCCUCCCCUCCAGGUGUUCUCCAUCUCCCUGCCGUACGUCCUUUGCUGUAGUUUGGAAAGAGCCCCACCAUCCCUUGCACGGAGAGCCCGACAACGGUGGUUGGAUGAGGAAGAUACUAAUUUAUUCAGUAUUUGGUGUGUACCGUUUGUUACACGUUAGUCCUUAGGGACCGAAUGAUGAACAGGACAGACACCGUCCCUGCCUUCAUGGAAGGGCGCACGGUAGAGGUCAUUUCAAAGUUUGAGUGGGGUAAGUUCUGUGAACGAGGGGAACAGGUGUGACAGCGUGCUCAGUGCCAGAAACCUCAUCACAGUGCCAUUAACUCCCGGGAAAACAGAAGGCGCGUGGCUUCCCUGGUUCUCUGUGGACAGCCUCUUGCCUUCUGGAGUCUGUUCCCGGCUGACUCACGAGAUGUCCCGGGUGUGCCACGGCCACUAGUACUUAUGUAUCUCUUCCCUCCCUUGCCCCUGCCCCCACGCUCAGUAGGCCUUGGACUUUCAGAUACUUUGCAUAUGAACAAACAGACCGAUACAGUUUGACCACCUGAAAGGCCUGGAGUUCAUUUUGUCUGAGCCCUCAUUUUACAUCCGCGCCUGGUAAUGACUAACCUAACAUCUUACAGGCGGCAGUGCGCAGGGCUAGAAACCUGUGCUUGAACGCCAAGUUCAACCAGCUGAGGGGUGGCCGGCUGAGAGGGGUGGGUACAGAAGAGAGGGAGCUGGCAUCAGAAUGGUCUAGUAGAAAGUGACGUGCUUUGGCAUUGAAAUGCCAUUAUGUAUCUUCAGACACCCAGGCUUUUCCAAAGAAAAACAGGGAUGCACAAAUUGGUGAAGCUGACAACUAAACGUGUACAGAUGCUGAGAAAUGUCCGCAUUGAAAAAUGACAAUUUUGAAUUUUCAUAGUCUAGCAGAAUGCCGAUCUUCCUCGGGGAGACAGUUAUUCUUAUAUCUGGAGUCGUCCCGUUGUGCAGGAACUCAUACUUAUGCCUAGAAAUUAAAUGUUGAUAGGACACAGCUUCAGAAGUUCUGUAGAUGGGCUAUUUACAGAACAUUUCGUAUUAGUUUUCAAAUAAUGCUGUGAUCGUGUUUUUUUUUUAAUUAAUUGACUACCAAAGUAAUGGUUCAUUUCCCAACAUAUCUAUCUCUUCUAAAAUUUGUCCUAAGAGACCUCUCUUUUUAAACACCGUUUGUUUUUGAUCAAUUUCUUCACCUAAGAGACUUACAUACACACUUACUGCAUCAAAGUUUGUAUAGAAAUUGGUGUUUUAGGGGCACCUGGGUGGCGCAGUCGGUUAAGCG